rnacentral:rRNA from 1 species
CCUACGGGAGGCAGCAGUGAGGAAUAUUGGUCAAUGGCCGGAAGGCUGAACCAGCCAUGCCGCGUGAAGGUCAGUGCCCUAUGGGCGUUAAACUUCUUUUGUGCGGGAGCAAUAAUGGUCACGUGUGGCCAGACGAGAGUACCGUACGAAUAAGCAUCGGCUAACUCCGUGCCAGCAGCCGCGGUAAUACGGGGGAUGCAAGCGUUAUCCGGAUUUAUUGGGUUUAAAGGGUGCGUAGGCUGUGAGGUAAGUCAGCGGUGAAAUGCCCCCGCUCAACGGGGUGAAGUGCCAUUGAUACUGCCUGGCUGGAAUGCGGAUGCCGUGGGAGGAAUGUGUGGUGUAGCGGUGAAAUGCAUAGAGAUCACACAGAACACCGAUUGCGAAGGCAUCUCACGAAGCCGCGAUUGACGCUGAUGCACGAAAGCGUGGGUAUCAAACAGGAUUAGAUACCCGAGUAGUC